AACGUAAGAUGACUGUAGUGAAGCUUACAUCUCUUCGGAGCAUUUUACGAGGUGCUGCAUGGUUGUCGUCAGCUCGUGCCGUGAGGUGUCGGGUUAAGUCCCAUAACGAGCGCAACCCUACCUUUAGUUGCCAUCAGGUAAUGCUGGGGACUCUAAAGGAACUGCCUACGCAAGUAGUGAGGAAGGCGGGGAUGACGUCAAAUCAGCACGGCCCUUACGUCCAGGGCUACACACGUGCUACAAUGGCCGAUACAGAGGGCAGCUACCUGGUGACAGGAUGCAAAUCUCCAAAGUCGGUCUCAGUUCGGAUCGGAGUCUGCAACCCGACUCCGUGAAGUUGGAUUCGCUAGUAAUCGCGCAUCAGCCAUGGCGCGGUGAAUACGUUCCCGGGCCUU
rnacentral:rRNA from 1 species